GCACUCUUAGCUCAAUUGGAUAGAGCGUUGGUCUACGGAACCAAAGGUUGGGAGUUCGAGUCUCUUAGGGUGCACCA
rnacentral:tRNA from 2 species